rnacentral:rRNA from 1 species
UACGUAGGGGGCAAGCGUUGUCCGGAAUCAUUGGGCGUAAAGAGCGUGUAGGCGGCCAGAAAAGUCCGCUGUGAAAACUCGAGGCUCAACUUCGAGCUGUCGGUGGAAACUUUCUGGCUAGAGUCCGGAAGAGGAGAAUGGAAUUCCUGGUGUAGCGGUGAAAUGCGCAGAUAUCAGGAGGAACACCGAUGGCGAAGGCAGGUCUCUGGGCCGAUACUGACGCUGAGGAGCGAAAGCGUGGGGAGCGAACAGG